rnacentral:rRNA from 1 species
CCUACGGGAGGCAGCAGUGAGGAAUAUUGGUCAAUGGACGAGAGUCUGAACCAGCCAAGUAGCGUGAAGGAUGACUGCCCUAUGGGUUGUAAACUUCUUUUAUAUGGGAAUAACAUGUUCCACGUGUGGGAUUUUGUAUGUACCAUAUGAAUAAGGAUCGGCUAACUCCGUGCCAGCAGCCGCGGUAAUACGGAGGAUCCGAGAGUUAUCCGGAUUUAUUGGGUUUAAAGGGAGCGUAGGUGGAUUGUUAAGUCAGUUGUGAAAGUUUGCGGCUCAACCGUAAAAUUGCAGUUGAAACUGGCAGUCUUGAGUACAGUAGAGGUGGGCGGAAGUCGUGGUGUAGCGGUGAAAUGCUUAGAUAUCACGAAGAACUCCGAUUGCGAAGGCAGUUCACUGGACUGCAACUGACACUGAGGCUCGAAAGUGUGGGUAUCAAACAGGAUUAGAUACCCGUGUAGUC